rnacentral:rRNA from 1 species
GAUGAACGCUGGCGGCGUGCCUAAUACAUGCGAGUCGAGCGAACGGACGAGAAGCUUGCUUCUCUGAUGUUAGCGGCGGACGGGUGAGUAACACGUGGAUAACCUACCUAUAAGACUGGGAUAACUUCGGGAAACCGGAGCUAAUACCGGAUGAUAUUUUGAACCGCAUGGUUCAAAAGUGAAAGACGGUCUUGCUGUCACUUAUAGAUGGAUCCGCGCUGCAUUAGCUAGUUGGUAAGGUAACGGCUUACCAAGGCAACGAUGCAUAGCCGACCUGAGAGGGUGAUCGGCCACACUGGAACUGAGACACGGUCCAGACUCCUACGGGAGUCAGCAGUAGGGAAUCUUCCGCAAUGGGCGAAAGCCUGACGGAGCAACGCCGCGUGAGUGAUGAAGGUCUUCGGAUCGUAAAACUCUGUUAUUAGGGAAGAGCAUAUGUGUAAGUAACUGUGCACAUCUUGACGGUACCUAAUCAGAAAGCCACGGCUAACUACGUG